rnacentral:rRNA from 1 species
UGGGCGUAAGGGCUCGCAGGCGGUUUCUUAAGUCUGAUGUGAAAGCCCCCGGCUCAACCGGGGAGGGUCAUUGGAAACUGGGAAACUUGAGUGCAGAAGAGGAGAGUGGAAUUCCACGUGUAGCGGUGAAAUGCGUAGAGAUGUGGAGGAACACCAGUGGCGAAGGCGACUCUCUGGUCUGUAACUGACGCUGAGGAGCGAAAGCGUGGGGAGCGAACAAGAUUAGAUACCCUG